GCCAGCCUUAUUUAAAAUUUCUAUUAUUUUACUAAAUUGCUACUAUACGCUUGUACCCUUUUCUGGGUCCGACGGUCGCCGACUUCUACCGUCCUUCCCAGAACCGUCGUCCUCCACCUCUUGUUUCUGUCGUUGGCCACUACUUCCCCUUAGGUCUCUCUCUCUCUCUCUUUGUUCAUAGAAAGUUUAAAUCCUGAUUAUUUUUUCAGCUAUGGAUGACGACAAUUCGAACGCAUUUCGGAGAAUGUCGAGCCGCACUCGUAAAGUGGCUCCUAAAAUGGCUGCAGCACUUGGCAGUUCUGAUAAUCGAACACAGGCAGCUUUGGCUCGUCUUGAAGCUUUGGAGAAUGAUAACACAGGGAUUGAAGCAGUUGAAAUGAACGAUGAUGAUGAAGCUUCACUCGACGACGAUGAUCAAGCAUACAUGCAAAAGAGAUUCAAGGGCACAAAACGUAAAACUCGGCAGGCAAAAGCACUUGAAAAUGCUAGGAAGGCUCCAAGAACAUUUCUUGAGCUUUUACAUGAGGCAAACCUGGAGUCUUUGCCUCCUCAUGUUCCAUCCUAUUUGAGGGCAGCAGUGGGACCUCCAAGCUCUACCUCCCGUCGGCAUUUCUGCAGCGUUUGUGGAUUUACUGCAAGCUAUACAUGCGUGACAUGUGGAAUGCGCUUUUGUUCGUGCCGUUGCCAAAAUAUACAUAAUGAUACUCGAUGCAUGAAAUUUGUUGCUUGAGUGGUGAGACAGGAACCAUUUUUUUUUUGUUUUGAUGGGUAGUUAGGAAACAAAAAUUUUGUAACUCAUCAAAUGCCAAAAAUAUUCUAUGGAUGUUGUUAUGAAUUUGUCAAAUGUAGUCUUAAGAAAUCACGACUUUCUGUGCUACUGUUUCUUGGUAGAGUUUGUAAAGCAAGGGCAAAAGAGAAAUAAAAGAGGAAGAAACCAUUUUCUUUUGUUUAAAUUGAUUCUCCUCUGGUUCUCAGAUCUCGACGGUGUAUGUUCAGGCUGUCCCCCACUCGGUGUUCACACAUCCUCUUCUAGAAGUGAUUGAUGGUCUAUAGUCAGAAAAGUUCCAUUGAAGGUAUUUG